AUGGAUGGGUGGAGGUCUGGAGGAUGAUAUCGAGGCGUUGGCCAGCAUCGCGGCCGCCUCGGCCACGGCCAGGACCUGGUCCGCGCCGGCGUCGACGGCCGCGAGCCAGCGGAGGAGCGCGUCGCCGGCGUGAUGCUCGGACGGCGAGCCUCGAGGGAGGAACAGGUGGCGGCGGCAGGUGAGGCAAGGGGGGUCGGCGGGCGAGAAGCGCAGCUGCGCAGGAGGGGAGCGAUCCGCUUUGACUUGGUCUUGUGAUCCUGGCCGCGGGAAUGGGAUCCGACGGUCCAGGUGGCCUAGAGUCCGGACGGUAAAUGAAAUACCGUCCGGGGUGGACCCAUCCCCAUCGUCCAUCGACGGCCUCCGGCCUCUGCUCCGGCGGUCGUAGCUCUGCCCUACGCAGUGCGCAGCUCACCUUUGAUCCGCCCGCCGUGGCGCCAUUGAUUCCCCGUACCUUUCGCUUCAGUCGCUCGCUCCCGCAGUCCACAGGCCCGCACGCCCGCACCCAAAUACUCUUCGGUGCGGGACUCUGCCUUAGCCCCGCCGCUUUUUUUCCGCCACCAGCUUAUUCCCCGGUUCGUGCCUCAGAGUGGUCGUCGACCUCCAGGAGCGCCCGCGCCAUCCAUCUCCAGCCAAGACCCAGCGCGCCAUCCAACACUAGGUUACGUGCCGAAUCCGUUCUCCAACUCCCUGCUACUGUUUAGCUAGCUGCUGUUCCUGCCCGAGCUUCACGAUGUAGCUUCAGAAAUAUUAGGUGGCUCCGUCCAUGAUGUUUCCCUUAUGGUUAAAAACCUGAAAUUCAUGUCACUUUUUUUCUCAUGCAUUAGUUUCAUGUUGCUAAUUCUUGAUAAAUAAAUGUUUGAUGAAGCGACAACAACUACAAUUUUGGGUGGACAGGAAAAUCUCACAGAAGUUUGGAGAUGGCAAAAGGAUAUGCAGGAACCAGGAAUGUCUGAUAUACACCAUAAACAUAAAGCUACCCUUCAGGGUGAUCAAUGCGCAUGUCAUGUGUGUGAAUGCUUGGUUUCUCAUUUUUCUUUCAUUCUUUUUCCCUUCUCUGCGAGGCUAUCAAGAACUAAUUAAUUGUUUUGUUAGUCCAUACUCAUUUAUUAUGCAAAUUCUUAUCUUCACAUUUCCUUUUAGGCUUGUUUUAAUUUAUUUCCUGUGCAGCUGCCGAGCUUAAUCUGUUGGUCUAUGCUGUAGGGAUCUCUGGUGCCAAAUGGGUAAGACGACAAGCAUCGAGUUGGUGUAUGGAGAAUCAACAUAAGGAUGCCAAAUGACAUAUCAUGAAGUGCUAAAGCACCUAUCUCCAGUGGUUCCAACUCUGCUUAUGGUAUUCAUGUUUUUAUCAUGAUGUGAGAUACGUGUUUAUGCCAAGGAACACAUGUUGUCGCAUUAUCUUGCAGAGUUAAGUUCUUCAGUUGGCUUCCAUCCUUCUUGGCCGGGUUUCCAAUACCUGAACCUUCUGCUCCUUCUAAAGCAUGUCGAAUACGUAGAGCAGAUAGAUGAAUGCUACUAAAGCUCAUUCCUACCUUCCAGCUCCCUCCCAAGAGCCCGUCAUGAUAGGAUCCUGUAAUGCUGCAUCAUUAUCCUCUUCAAUAUCUACCCUCGCAGCACCACCCUUGGCCAAGCAAGUGUCGCACGACAGCAGUGUGAGAGCAACAUAGAUACAAGUGAUAUUGCAGGGGAUCCUACUCUUCCACAUCUCAAUCAACACCGAUGGUGCAUGUCCCUUUCAGAUAUCAUCUCGCAGCAAUGUUCUACUGAUUGGAGGCUAAAUUUGGGGCUAUAUAUUGAGGCUAAAUUUGGUGCUAUAUACCUAUGCUGAUAUUUCGCCUCAAAUCAUUGAUAUUCAGAAUGGAUGCUAUGUCAUCUGGACUCAAGUAUCGCUGCCCAAAAUCAAUCUUUUAUAUCCACUGGUGAUGUUGCUGCACUUAAGAUGCCUAUUCAGCUAUAUUUUCUUUCUCCGUAUCACCUUAACUAUUCUUUCAUUGUUUGUUUUCUAAAUGCAAUAUUAAUAUUUCUGUUUCAUGAGUGUUUGUCCUUCAUACCACCAGUGAUUCAUACUACACUACUGCAGUACUGCUUGUCUCUGUACAAAAUAUGCCUCUGUUUGUGACAUCUAUACAUACAUGGUUCAGUGUCCAUUUUAUUUAACUGAAUAUAAUGAUUCGCUAAACCAUUCCUUAAUGCUCCUGUAUAGCUAAACUUUAUGUCCUUGUUUAUCUGAUACAUUAAUGUAUCUUUGUACAAAUUUAAAUAAUUAGUCCUUUCUCCCAGUGCUGUUUGCUAUCCAGCCAGCAUAUAUGAAUGAGGCAUGUACACUAUAUUGCUUAUACAAAAAUACAUGAAUUGUAUGAUAUGUGCCAAUUGAGUUCCUGAUUACCGUAUAGUUACCUCCCUGAUCAUUAGGCUUGUUCAAUGUCAAGGUAGAUUAAUCUAUAACUGUGUUUGUUCAUAAAUGCAAUCAUGUUUAAAUCACACCUGUUUGAUUUAUUUAUUACAACUAGCUUUGUCUUCCCAGCUAUUUCCAUAAUUAUACUUUGUUAAUCUUAUUUUACACUGCAAGCUCGUCAUUUAUGGAACCACUUCAAUUGUUAGCCAUGAAUUUUACUUUGUAAAGUUAAUCCUGUCCUGUACUGCAAACUGGAUGAUUGUUGGCCAUGAAUUUUUACUUAUGCUUAUACACAACAGCACUGUGCUACCUUUUCAGGCAGACAGUUUCCUUUCAGAUAUACACCACCAUGUCAAGCUUUCUUUGCCAGUUUUAGACAGUAUGAUGUUAUCAUCUUUUUAUAAGUAAUGUUAGUAUGCUACCCUUUUGUGCUUACCACAAGAUCUACAAUGCCAAUGCCAUCAGCUGAGCUUCUUUGCCAAUUCAACGUGAAUGCUGUUUCAGGUAAGAGUUUGGCUGUACAUUGUUUUAUAUUCAACGUUAGGCAAUAGGCACUCUUAAGGUACCAGGAAAUUGAGUCAUCAAGCUUACGUGAAAAUGGCAUCUCAAGAUAUGACACUCAUAAAAACAUUUCAUCACCAGCGGACAUAUCUACCUUUUUUAUGAGCAUUGCCAUUCACCUGUUCUAUUACAAAACUGUCUAUCAAAAUAGCAUCGUUAUACUAUUUACACGGACAGUAGUACUUCUUUUACUUGAUAAUUGCCACUAGCAAUAUAGAGAGAUGCCUGACCCUAACGUACACCGGUCAGAUGUUCCGCAAAAGCUGAAACGUUUGUUAGAUUUUAGAUCAGUGCGUUGCAUUGAUGCAUCGACUUUGACACCGCAGCCUGUUAUGCACAGCAAGGCAUAAGUUUUCAGUUAGGAGUCCAGGUUCUACGGGAUCAAGUUGUUAGCUUCUGUUAGAGUUUGGUUGCGUUUCUGUUUAAUAGGAGAUUAGCUGGCAGGUUUUUGUUAAGUUGGGCAAAGGGAAAGUAGCUGGCUAUUUAUAUGGAGCUGAUGUAAUCAGGAAGUCAGCCAGGUGAUGAAAUCAAUCAGUUUUCCCCUAUCCCUUCUCUCGUCCCUGUCCUCUCUCUCCUGCUUGAUCGCUGACCACUGCACCUAAACCACGGCCUCGAGGUCCUGGACCACGGCCAGUUACCUCCCACGAUUACUCCCUGUGCCAUCCACCUUCCACAAAUAUCCCCUUCACAUAACACAGCAAGUUUGGUGCCAUCUGUUUAUCUAUAUUCUACCACAAUCCCUUUACUCCAGGCAUCUGAUAUUGAUGCACUUAUUUCUGUAUUUUCCAUGUGAUUUUGUCACUUCAAAAUGUUGCUACAGUUUAGCUGUCUCUUUUAGAUCGAUUGAUGCACUUUUGGCUGGAUUUGCCGUAUGAUAUUGUCACUUCAAAAUGUUGCUAUGGUUUACUUGGGCAGUACAUUGGCUCAGGCUGAGUAUUUGCUGCUUACUCUCAUUCAUGGGGCAGGUAAGGCCUGCAGCACAAUAUCCGAGGGGGGACAAUGAAAAUUACAAACGGGCAGAUAUUCUUGGAGAUCAACCAUUUGGCUUCGGAUGAACAACAUGGCUGUUUUUCGUUUGGGUUCCCGCUGGUUACAUCUGGCCGCGGUAGGUGUGAAGCCAAAGCCAGAUCUGCGCUGCUGCACCCCGUGGGGGCCCAGAGCACACUGACUGGUUGGCCACGCGCACGGACCACCAACCACGAGGCAGCCAGGCAGGCGGGGACAGCCGGACGGGGACAGGCGUGUCCGCGCGUGUGUGCAGUGCAUCUGCUCCACAAGAAAGAAAGGCACCCGUCGGCGUUGAGCGCCCGGGCCCGGCCGUGGGCGCUCCACGCCUCCACGAACCACGAGGCAGACGGGGAGUGGCAGAAGCAAGCAGAAACGAUCGAAGCGGGUCGUUGCCGGCGAGACACGCUCGAAGCGGUAGCAUCAACGAUCGUGCUGGGCAUGGGUUGACAACGUAGUAGCGGCACGUGUCGUAGCAACAGCUGCCCUUUGGUUUGGUUUGGGACAGGAUCACUGGUGACCGGGAAGCUUCGGUGCAAAAAUAUCUGUCCGGGUUCCGAAUUCCGAUCCAUUGGCUUUUCGAUGCGUUGUGGUGGGGGUUCACGGAGAGAGUGACCGAAUUGUGGCUGUUUGGUAUUUUCCUCCAACAGCCAAUGUUGUUUCAAUGCCAAAAUAGCCUAUGUGUUUUUUGGUGCACAUAUAUUCUUCUUUCUUAUUUAAAUUGUCUCAAAGAUUUGGACUAUAUAAAGUGUAAAUACAUCCAAACAUACGUUUAUAA